rnacentral:rRNA from 1 species
UUCCGGUUGAUCCCGCCGGACCCGACUGCUAUCAGAGUGGGACUAAGCCAUGCGAGUCGACGUAGCAAUGCGUGGCGAACGGCUCAGUAACACGUAGUCAACAUGCCCAGGGGACGUGGAUGACCUCGGGAAACUGAGAAUAAACCACGAUAGGUCACGAUUUCUGGAAUGGAUCAUGGCAUAAAUCUACAUGGCCCCUGGAUUGGACUGCGGCCGAUCAGGCAGUUGGUGAGGUAAUGGCCCACCAAACCUAUAACCGGUACGGGCUCUGAGAGGAGAAGCCCGGAGAUGGGCACUGAGACAAGGGCCCAGGCCCUAUGGGGCGCAGCAGGCGCGAAACCUCUGCAAUAGGCGAAAGCCUGACAGGGUUACUCUGAGUGAUUUCCGCUAAGGGGAUCUUUUGGCACCUCUAAAAAUGGUGCAGAAUAAGGGGUGGGCAAGUCUGGUGUCAGCCGCCGCGGUAAUACCAGCACCCCGAGUGGUCGGGACGAUUAUUGGGCCUAAAGCAUCCGUAGCCGGUUCUGCAAGUCUUCCGUUAAAUCCAGCCGCUCAACGGAUGGGCCGCGGAGGAUACUAUAGGACUAGGAGGCGGGAGAGGCAAGCGGUACUCAGUGGGUAGGGGUAAAAUCCUUUGAUCCAUUGAAGACCACCAGUGGCGAAGGCGGCUUGCCAGAACGCGCUCGACGGUGAGGGAUGAAAGCUGGGGGAGCAAACCGGAUUAGAUACCCGGGUAGUCCCAG